rnacentral:rRNA from 1 species
GACGAACGCUGGCGGCGUGCUUAACACAUGCAAGUCGAACGGAAAUGCCCUGCUUUUGUGGGGUGCUCGAGUUGCGAACGGGUGAGUAACACGUGAGUAACCUGCCCUUGACUUUGGGAUAACUUCAUGAAACUGGGGCUAAUACCGGAUAGGAGCUCCUGCUGCAUGGUGGGGGUUGGAUAGUUUCGGCGGUUGGGGAUGGACUCGCGGCUUAUCAGCUUGUUGGUGGGGUAGUGGCUUACCAAGGCUUUGACGGGUAGCCGGCCUGAGAGGGUGACCGGACACAUUGGGACUGAAAUACGGCCCAGACUCCUACGGGAGGCAGCAGUGGGGAAUAGUGCACAAUGGGCGGAAGCCUGAUGCAGCAACGCCGCGUGCGGGAUGACAGCCUUCGGGUUGUAAACCGCUUUCGCCUGUGACGAAGAGUGAGUGACGGUAAUGGGUAAAGAAGCACCGGCUAACUACGUG